GGGAAUUUUGGACAAUGGGCGCAAGCCUGAUCCAGCCAUGCCGCGUGCAGGAUGAGGGCCUUCGGGUUGUAAACUGCUUUUGUACGGAACGAAAAGGUGCCUUCUAAUAAAGGGCGCUCAUGACGGUACCGUAAGAAUAAGCACCGGCUAACUACGUGCCAGCAGCCGCGGUAAUACGUAGGGUGCGAGCGUUAAUCGGAAUUACUGGGCGUAAAGCGUGCGCAGGCGGUUUUGUAAGACAGAGGUGAAAUCCCCGGGCUCAACCUGGGAACGGCCUUUGUGACUGGAAGGCUGGAGUGGGGCAGAGGGGGAUGGAAUUCCGCGUGUAGCAGUGAAAUGCGUAGAUAUGGGGAGGAACACCGAUGGCGAAGGCAAUCCCCUGGGCCUGCACUGAGGCUCAUGCACGAAAGCGUGGGGAGCAAACA
rnacentral:rRNA from 1 species